CGAGGAGGAGUACGGCUUCCAGCAGCAGGGCGCCAUCACCAUCCCCUGCGGCGUCGACAACUUCCGCCGCGUCCAGGCCGUCAUCGACAGCCACACCCACAGGCACGGCGGCUCCGCCGGCCUCCUCUCCGCCGGCCACCAGCACCACGGCUCCUCCUCGGGCCACCUCCACUUCCACCUCGCCGCCUGCUUCAGGGCGUGAGAUCCGUCUCACCCCACCCCCGCCGGAUGGACGCAAUCUCCGGCCCCGUGUUCGUCGCCUCAGGGAGGCUCCGUUGUUAAUUAGAGUUUAGACGGUCAGGUCAGGUAUGUGGUGAUCCAAGGAUC
rnacentral:lncRNA from 1 species